UACCCGCUGAACUUAAGCAUAUCAAUAAGCGGAGGAAAAGAAACCAACAGGGAUUGCCUCAGUAACGGCGAGUGAAGCGGCAACAGCUCAAAUUUGAAAUCUGGCUCUUUCAGGGUCCGAGUUGUAAUUUGUAGAGGAUGCUUCGGGUACGGCUCCGGUCUAAGUUCCUUGGAACAGGACGUCGCAGAGGGUGAGAAUCCCGUACGUGACCGGCCUCCACGCCCGUGUGAAGCUCCUUCGACGAGUCGAGUUGUUUGGGAAUGCAGCUCAAAAUGGGUGGUAAAUUUCAUCUAAAGCUAAAUAUUGGCCAGAGACCGAUAGCGCACAAGUAGAGUGAUCGAAAGAUGAAAAGCACUUUGGAAAGAGAGUCAAACAGUACGUGAAAUUGUUGAAAGGGAAGCGCUUGCAACCAGACUUGCCCGCGGGUGAUCAGCCGGUAUUUUUACCGGUGCACUCGCCCGUGGUCAGGCCAGCAUCGGUUUGGGCGGCUGGAUAAAGUCCCCCGGAAUGUAGCUCCUUUCGGGGAGUGUUAUAGCCGGAGGUGCAAUGCAGCCCGCCCGGACCGAGGACCGCGCUUCGGCUCGGAUGCUGGCGUAAUGGUUGUAAGCGACCCGUCUUGAACCACGGACCA
rnacentral:rRNA from 1 species